UGCCAGGGGCAUGUCGGAUCUGGAUAGAUAAGCGCACAUAUGUGCACACCCCCCAUUCGGUGUGUGAUGGUGUGUAUCUCUGGCUAGCCCAAGAUCUGCCAGAUAGUAAAUUACUUUCUUUGUACGCGGACGUGUCGCGUCUGCGGCUUUAUUGCCCGGCGCGAGGGUGUAUAUAAAAAUGCAUAUCCCUUGGAAUGGAUUUUACAACUUCUAAAAAAGAAAAAGGGUAAAUUUCCACGAUAAUACGCUGAGCUCGCUGACUCAAACGGGCUGCUACUGGUUUUAGAUUAAAAUUGAAUGGUGAUGUGGACUUGCUCCGCGGGUAACCCGGUAACCAGGCGUUGGGGAGUGGGCCAAAUCGCCGUGCCCGCCUGAGAUUAGACAGGAAUACCAAAUAUUUACCAAAUGCGAUCAGUCAAGGUUAAGGCGUGACACAUGCGUGAUGUACAUGGGCCUAUAAAUUAAUACUAAAUUCCCUAAGCGCCAGCCCAGAAUCGAAUUUUCGAAAAUGUCCAACCAAGUUAGUUGGCAUGGCCAUAUCCGAUCCGGCAAUGACUAGCAGGCAAAUCAAGUUAAAGUUCAACACAAUCAAAUAAAUAAAUAGAAACAGCCAAAAAAGCGCGUCAGAUGUGUACGCCAUUUUAUUGGAUUUAAUGCACAUUAAUGGGCGCACAAUGGCUAUGAUAUCAUCGCUGGAAUUGUGCGCCAAUUACUCGACUGCACUUGCACAAAGGCAACCAUUUCCAGCGAAAUAUGUUGUAAGCAAUUACUUACGUCUGCUGCAGGGUCGAAUGUAGGAGGUAAAUUCAAUUUGCAGAAACCUACAAAACGCACACAACGUGACUUCGGCUUUUCGGUAAUCUUUUACGGAGCUAAUCCCUUGUAAGGGAGGAUAGCCUUCAAAAAACGUAGGGAGCAGCAAUAAGAGCUCACUAUUAUUAGGUGUAGUACAAAAAGGACAGCUUAAAAUGGCAGCAAGCCCCAAAUAAAUAAUAAAUAAAAUACACAUGACGUUAGUACUGAUAACACUAUGAAGAUAAAUUCAAAUCGUUUAGCUGGGAAAGCUAAACUGAAUUAAUCGAAAUAAUGUUGGAUACUUGAGAUUAGUAGUCUAUAUUAAUCUUGUAUUACCUAAUACAUGUUACAGUAAUGCCUUCCCAUUCUGUGAAUAGUUAUAUUCCGACGUGUUCUAUAAUUAGUUAUAGUCUGACGUAUUAGCUACCAUACGGAAGCCAAUAGUAAAAUAAUAAAGAUUAAAAAUAAAGGGAUGAACAAUGUAACCGUAGCCAUAAAACAAAAGAUAAAAUCCGAUUUAAAUUCGUGUGUAAAGUACUUAUGUGUGGAAUUUACUAGCCAAACUAACUCAUAGAUAGUGGCCAGUGUCAGCCGCAAUAUAAAACCAGGCCACUGUAACUAUGACGCUGGGAAAAAAACAGAAAACAAAAUGCAAAAUAAAUGCCACAAAGUGCGGCAAAAUUUAAUUAUUUUUAUACCGACGAGCAAAGUGAAAACCAGGCGAAAAUGAAAAACCGAGUUUAGCAUAUGCAAAAUAAUGCCCAAAAAAGUGGGAGCAGCGCCAUCACUUGACCCUUUUGGUUGGGCUUAAUUUGUCUGGGAACCGCAACUGUUUUGGCCUUAUGACUUGACGCCCAAAAUAAAUGCUUAACUCUGGGGAAAAGCCACGCCCACCCAACCAACAGUCUUUAGCCCUUUUGAAGUCAGCGAAAUGCUUGUGCAGUUAGUGUUUCGAAAUUUUCCCAUUUCCGUCUGCAACUGCAGCUCGAUUUGCUCAAAGCGCCGUGCAGUUGCCUUGACUUUGGCUCAGUUUUUCUUGUAAGCUUUUUCAUUUCUAUACCCUGUAUUUAAAAAGUUUAGGGGCUUAACUAAAUUUCAAAAAACUUAAACAACCUAUACCGCCAAAAUACAGCCAUAGUUCAAUAUUAUUAGCCUACUUUGUUGUAAGAUUCUCUUUAGUUAUUUUGUUAGUUUGUCUAUCUUUUCCUUUACCCAAUUUACCUUUUAAGAAGUAUCUUAAAGUCGCAAUCUCCUCCAUUCCAACUAUAUAUCUUUAUAGUUGUUGUGUGUGUUUUGUGCUGUGCACACUUGAGCCAAUUUAACGCUUCCGUGUGUUUUUUACUUGCCACGCCUCGUUGACUGAGUACUGAAGAACAUUUCGCGGAGGAAAAAAAUUCUUUAAUUUCUACCUAAACGCCGAAAACACAAUUCCGAAAUUAGCACACUGCCAUGCGAACUUCAAUUAAUCGAGUUAAGUAAUCGCAGGCGUAUUUCUUGGCAGACAGAACUAUUCAGUGCCAUUGAUUACACGGCCCACAAAUUAAGACCAAUUAAAUCAAAUCCAAAUUCGGACCCAGGGACUAUCCAUCGCCCACGCAAGUCGUGGCCUUGAACUUGCCAGCUACCAGCAUCCAUUAGCCAGAAGCCAGACUCUGUUUUAAUAUCUUGCUCUGCCUUU